UGUGUAGGCUGCUUCGUAAGUCGGAUGUGAAAGCCCCGGGCUCAACCCGGGAAGUGCACUCGAUACUGCGGAGCUUGAGUGUCGGAGAGGUUGGUGGAAUUCUCGGUGUAGAGGUGAAAUUCGUAGAUAUCGAGAGGAACACCGGUGGCGAAGGCGGCCAACUGGACGAACACUGACGCUGAGACACGAAAGCGUGGGUAGCAAACAGGAUUAGAUACCCUGGUAGUCCACGCCGUAAACGAUGGGUGCUAGGUGUCACGGGCUUUGACUCUCGUGGUGCCGUAGCUAACGCAUUAAGCACCCCGCCUGGGAAGUACGGCCGCAAGGCUAAA
rnacentral:rRNA from 1 species